CAUAUAUGUAUAUUAACAUUGUUUAAGUUUUACGGAAGCACGGAAUUUAACAAUGCAAUAGGAAUAAGUUUGCAUAUAGAACAAGUAAAAAAAAUAAAAAACAAAAUGGAGUGAUUUACGACUUAGUUGUAAUAAAAAUACGAAUGAAAUUUAUGACGAUUUAUUGCUUCGGUUUUGUUUGACUGUAUUGUGUACAUAAACAAAUAUUUUAACAAUGUCUUUAAGCAAUAAAAGCAACAUAAGCGAAAAAGAAAUCGACGAUGAGGAUAUGCUGUCUCCCACUAAAUUAUCUACUAAUCUUGUUGUUCGAGUAAAUCAAGACUCCGAUGACAACCUGCAAGCACUAUUCGAUAGUGUACUGAAUCCCGGAGAUGCAAAACUUCCUUUGCAGCUACCAUUUCGUAUGCGCAAACUGCCGAAUUCGUUUUUCAAUCCUCCAGCUCCCCUACAUUCGCGAGCAAACAGUGCCGAUUCCACAUACGAUGGCUCACAAACCAAUAUCAACAAGACUGCCCAGCCAGAAAUACAGCCAUCACUCUCACAAAACCAGCCAUCACACAGUCGUCUGACAAUACAUCAUUUUCGCGCUCGGAGCAGUCCAGCUUCCCUACAGCAAAACUAUAAUGUUCGCUCUAGAAAUGAAUCGGCCGCAAAUAGCAACCAGGGGCCUGCGUACCCGGAUAAUAAUGUGGACUUCGCUAGCAGUACGGCAAAUAAUAUUGAUUUAGAUGUAAUAAAUACGUGCAUGGGACAAGGACCGGAGACUCCAUUAUCUACUCAGACCAUUCAUAAAAAGCAAAGAUCAUAUGACGUUGUCAGUCCAAUUCAACUACAAAGUCAAUUAGGUGCACUACCGCCUGGCUGGGAGCAAGCUAAAACUAAUGAUGGGCAGAUUUACUAUUUAAACCACACCACAAAAACAACACAAUGGGAAGAUCCAAGAAUUCAGUUUCGUCAACAGCAACAACGAGCUAUGUCCGAUCGGAAACCAGCUGCUUGUUCCCCUGACUGCUAAAAUUAAUCAGAAAACUAAGAAUUCCAACAAAAAAGAAAAUUGUAAACGCUGUAUGUUAUUCAAACUUCAAAGCAAGCUAGCGCCCCGAGCAUAUCUACCCAUAUUGGCCCACUACCCG
rnacentral:misc_RNA from 1 species